GACGAACGCUGGCGGCGUGCUUAACACAUGCAAGUCGAACGGAAAGGCCCUGCUUUUGUGGGGUGCUCGAGUGGCGAACGGGUGAGUAACACGUGAGUAACCUGCCCUUGACUUUGGGAUAACUUCAGGAAACUGGGGCUAAUACCGGAUAGGAGCUCCUGCUGCAUGGUGGGGGUUGGAAAGUUUCGGCGGUUGGGGAUGGACUCGCGGCUUAUCAGCUUGUUGGUGGGGUAGUGGCUUACCAAGGCUUUGACGGGUAGCCGGCCUGAGAGGGUGAACGGCCACAUGGGGACUGAGAGACGGCCCAGACUCCUACGGGAGGCAGCAGUGGGGAAUAUUGCACAAUGGGCGGAAGCCUGAUGCAGCAACGCCGCGUGCGGGAUGACGGCCUUCGGGUUGUAAACCGCUUUCGCCUGUGACGAAGCGUGAGUGACGGUAAUAGGUAAAGAAGCACCGGCUAACUACGUG
rnacentral:rRNA from 1 species